rnacentral:rRNA from 1 species
GCUUGUUGGUGGGGUAACGGCCUACCAAGGCGACGAUGUCUAGGGGCUCUGAGAGGAGAAUCCCCCACACUGGUACUGAGACACGGACCAGACUCCUACGAGAGGCAGCAGUAAGGAAUAUUGGUCAAUGGAGGGAACUCUGAACCAGCCAUGCCGCGUGCAGGAAGACGGCCCUACGGGUUGUAAACUGCUUUUGCACGGGAAUAACCCUCAUUAUGUAUAAUGAGCUGAAUGUACCGUGAGAAUAAGGAUCGGCUAACUCCGUGCCAGCAGCCGCGGUAAUACGGAGGAUCCGAGCGUUAUCCGGAAUUAUUGGGUUUAAAGGGUGCGCAGGCGGGGAUCUAAGUCAGGGGUGAAAGACGGUGGCUCAACCAUCGCAGUGCCUUUGAUACUGGAUUUCUUGAAUGUACCUGAGGUAGGCGGAAUGUGGCAAGUAGCGGUGAAAUGCAUAGAUAUGCCACAGAACACCGAUUGCGAAGGCAGCUUACCAAAGUAUGAUUGACGCUGAGGCACGAAAGCGUGGGGAUCGAACAGGAUUAGAUACCCUGGUAGUCCACGCCCUAAACGAUGAACACUCGAUGUCGGCGAUAGACAGUCGGCGUCCAAGCGAAAGCGUUAAGUGUUCCACCUGGGGGGUACGCCCGCAAGAUUAAAACUCAAAUG